GAACAGCUCAACCAUGAGGACCUUCUCCUUGUGGAUCUGGAGACUGAUGUCCUUUGGUAUGUCUGGGAUCAACCAAUCCACAAAGUCACUCAUGAGCAUCACGACGUUCUGUGAGGAAACAAAUAGGAGCAUGUGCAACACGGACGACGAGUACUUCAGCGCUUCCUUGAGAACCCCCUCUACAUUAAGGCGGAGAAGUGCGAGUUUCAUUCGCCAUCCGUCUCAUUUCUGGGUUACAUUGUGGAGAAAGUCAGUCAAUUUGACUAAGACUGUCUUAUGACUUCAGCAUCUAUUUGAUGGCAGUUCUCCACAGGGUUCUGUUAUCAGCUGUUGACUGUCAGAGCUGAGAGUAGAGCAGUUCCCUUGGAAGCCAAGCCAUCUGAGGUUUUUCUGUAUUAGAAUAUCAGCAAUGCCUGGCAGGUUUGCAGGGAGUAAGUCAGGAAGUAAGAUUUACCAACGUAGAUCCGCACAUCACAUUGGCUGGCAACCAAGCAAACUUCACUCUCAACCGGAUCACGGCACCAAUGUAACCCGCCUGGUCUAGCCAGCUCUGCAGAAUGAGAGUCGAGACCACUAGCCGUCGAGCUAAAAGUGCAGACUGUGAACUCAACAUCCCACACGACUCUUAAAAGGUGCUGUUUGUCAUGGUUAGGUACUGCAAUGAGGGCACUAGCGUUUGAACCUACUAGAUACCGCCGUCUCACCACUCACAAUAUGCAAGCGGCCCACGUAAAACAAACACCCAGAAAAGGUAACGUGAGCUUCCCUGAGACCGCAUGUACAGUAUGUGUAUGUGCACGCACACUAUGGGCAUGUUCCUGUGAACCAGCCAUGAGCGAGUGACAGCCAUUAACGCCACUCCCCCUUUUCUGACCGAAUGACAUUAAAACAUUCAACAUUCAGUUUAAGUGGUAAUUGUGAAGAAUAUAAUUUUUUUUGUACAAUCUUUUCUCUGUUUACUAUUGGUAACAUAUGCUAGCCGGUGGUGGUGUUAUAUUUUUUAGGUGAAAAAAGUGCCAUUUGGAGCCAAGGAAAGAUAGCAUUUUUUGGCGUCAGGGAGUUAGAUUUACCAACAUAUUUUCGCACAGGGUUCGUAUCUCCGUAGGGCAUCUCUGUGUGGAGUUUCUCAAAUAUUCCGGUUUCCUCCCACAUUACAAAAAUAUGCAUGUUGUAUGUUGCUGUGUUAGGUUAAUUGGUAAAUGUAAAUUGUCCAUAGGUAUGAAUGUGAGUGUGAAUGUUUGUUUCUCUAUAUGUGAUUGAUUGGCGACUAGUCCGGGGCGUACCCCGCCUCCUGCCUGAAGUCAGCUGGGAUAGGCUCCAGCAUACCCUUGCGACCCUAGUGACGAUAAGCGGCAUAGAAGAUGGAUGGAUGAAGCAUCCUCACAAGCACACUGGCUGGCACCCCUUACAUAUAAACCCCUCACAUUUCCGCAAAUAUUUUACGAUAUCUUUUCAUGGGAAAACACUAAAGAUACAAGAUACAUUUUGAUACAAAGAAGUGUACAGCUUGAAUAACAGUGCGACUGUACUAAUCCAAUGAUGUUCAUUUGGUCUAUUGGUAAUAUAUUCUGAACAAUUCUUUUCCCAAAACAGAGUUACAUCACGUGAGCACUCUGAGGAAGACUGUGAGUGAAAUGUCAAGUGUAAAAAACUAACUCUGAUCUGAGAAAUAAAGUGUGUGAGUCAAAACAUAAGUCAUAAGUCAACACAUAACCAUUAAUGUUUAAAUCGCUGGCAACAAAAGUGAGCGUGGAGUGGGCAUAGAGAACAUCACAGGUUGCCUCUUCCACUUUUUCAUGAGGCCCAACGUUUUUAAUAUAUUUUCUCCCAAGAAAGCACCUACCAAUAUCUUUGGCUUUGACAGCAAUCGGCCUUCUGAGCUCCAUAACAAACUUUUUGGCGUCCAGGCGUAUCUCAAUGAUGUUAUUCAGAAGAGCAAAGAGUGGCGCCAGAGGAAAGGAGGCCACAAAAAGAGUCACCAUCCCAAACUGGAUGACUAUGGAAACAAACACAAACUGGUGUUAAAAACAGAAGAUUUUAAAAGCAUGAGUUAGUGAAGUCAACAGGAACAUAAGUAAUUAGGGGUGAAACAAUACGGUAUCAGGUUGGGCUUAUGGAGAUAUACAUUUACAAUGGAUGAAUGUCAUAUCAAUUAUGGAACCAGAAUCAUUUUUUUGUACCCUUCUUUUUCCAGGAUGGAAUGAUCAUGCAAAGUACAUCUUCAAGAAUUAGCUUAAAUAUCCCAAGUUCCACCUCUACAGUUUUGGUUGUCAACAAGCUUCUGGUAUGAUUCAGAAUGGAUAUUUGACCAUUUCUGUUGGCAGAAUUGACAGUGUUCCUUUCAGUUGGUUUGUUUCCUGGCAUGGACACAGUUUAGCUGGUUAAAGAUCUCAAGGGAGCUGUGACCACAGCCACCAAAAAUACAUGCACAUCUACAGGUAUAUCAGAAUUAUACCAAUGAACACCUGAACGAUUCAGAGAAGGUUUGGGAGAAUGUGAUAUGGUCAGAUUUAGAAGAAUAAACAGAGCUGUUAGGCAUUAAUGUUUGGAGCCAGACAAAUGCUGAAUCUGAAGCCAAGAACACCAUCUCCAAAGUCAAAAAUGGAGGUGGGAACAUUCUGCCAAAAGCAUAUGACCAAGGCAACAAAGGAGUGGCUCAAGAAGAAGCACACUGAGAGCCUAUAGCCAGACCUUAAUCCCUUAGAAAAUCAAUAGAGGGAUCUGAAUCUUCAAUUUGCCAAGUGACAGCCUCAAAAGCUUCAAGGGAUGGCACGCUUAUUGUUUUUUGAUUGCAGUAUUUGUUUUGUCCUGCAUAUGGUGUGUGCUUAUUAAAAUGCAAGUCAACCAACGAGUUGAUAACGAUCCACUCAAUCUUGCUUCUGUGACAAGUCUGUCUACACUCUACGAUUCCCGGCUCGGCUCAGUCAUUAUUAUUCAAAUCCACUAUUUGGCGUACAAGCUAUGCCAUCUCUAAAACAUGAUCUCUAAAAAAGGAGUGAUGCGCUUCCUUUACAUGUAUUUAUUUAUUUUUAGCUUGUGUCCUGGAUGGGUCUGGUCCUUGAUGAUGACGUAAUGGGAGUGGGCCAUCUCCUCCAGGGAGGAUAAGGGACAGCCGUUAUUUGGGCUGUAUUUAUUACUCUCUGUAGAGCCUUCCUGCCUGCUGUGGAACAGGUGGCAUACCAGACAGUGAUGGAGAACACCAUGACAAUUGGUAGAAAGGCCUUUCUCCAAGUGCAUCUAAAUAAUCCACACUGCUUGCGUGUUGUAAUUCCAAUGACGUCUUACGAUCAUAUCUUAACUUGUCCAACUAUGGCGCGUUCAGGCACCACCGAUCAAGGUGCAAACUCACAAAGCUUAACAAAUAAACAUCAAUGAAGCAUACAGACAUAAACAUGUAAAUUUGUGAGCUUUCUAAUAGUGGCACAUGUAUGAUGUACAUUUGACUUGUAUUAUCUCAUAUUUAUAGAUUAUUACGGACUGACUUAUAGUGAAUGAGAUGUGUUUUCUGUGGAAAAAUGGCCUAUUUGUGGACCAAAAAAAACUGACCAUGAAUGCUAAAAUACGAAUGAGCUGGGUUCCACUCUCAGUGUCUCACUAUAUGUUGCUGCACAGUGAGCAGAGAGGUAGCCGGUGGACGGUUGUGGCAGCGAGCCAAAGCGGGAUGCACAUUUUACAUAUUGUAUGUCAUUGGGCAGAAGAGUUUUAAAAUAUGCUUGAUUAAAAUCACCAGCAAUGACAAGGACACCUUGAUAUCGUGUACAUAAAUAGUUAUGACACAUAAAAGACACAUGUUGCAGUGUUAUGUUGCCUUUGGAGGCCAUACCUGCACAGUGCAUCGUUUUAAUUAAUAAUUAGCUAUAAGUCAAGCUGUCAGCUGCCUGUUCUUUUGAAAACCUAUAUAAGCUGUUGGCUCUGUGGGCAGAUGGAAUGGUCGCCACAUGAUUGACAGAACAUCUAAGUCAGGUAACAGUGAUGAUUUAUAACCUGGCAAUUUUUGCAUCAGUCUUUAUGAAUAUGAACAUAGAAAAAAAUCUGCUGCAAUUCAGUCGAUGGUUGUUGUGACCCGCUAACUGUACAAGCAGCAGUCCCUGAUGGUUUUGCUCCAAUUUGUCUAGUUUAUGGACGAUUGA